GACGAACGCUGGCGGUGUGCUUAACACAUGCAAGUCGAACGGAAAGGCCCUGCUUUUGUGGGGUGCUCGAGUGGCGAACGGGUGAGUAACACGUGUGUAACCUGCCCUUGACUUUGGGAUAACUUCAGGAAACUGGGGCUAAUACCGGAUAGGAGCUCCUGCUGCAUGGUGGGGGUUGGAAAGUCUCGGCGGUUGGGGAUGGAUUCGCGGCUUAUCAGCUUGUUGGUGGGGUAGUGGCUUACCAAGGCUUUGACGGGUAGCCGGCCUGAGAGGGUGACCGGCGACAUUGGGACUGAGAUACGGCCCAGACGCCUACGGGAGGCAGCAGUGGGGAAUAUGACACAAUGGGCGGAAGCCUGAUGCAGAAACGCCGCGUGCGGGAUGACGGCCUUCGGGUUGUAAACCGCUUUCGCCUGUGACGAAGCGUGAGUGACGGUAAUGGGUAAAGAAGCACCGGCUAACUACGUG
rnacentral:rRNA from 1 species